AGAGAGAGAGAGAGAGAGAGAGAGAGAGAGAGAGAGAGAGAGACAGAGAGAGGUGGAGGAACUGAAGAGACAGAAUGCAGAUACUACAUCACAACUUACAGACGUCAGCAUGGCGUUACAGUGAUGUUCAUUAUAAAUGUUUAACGUGACUGUAAUGAGAAGUCAACCUGAGGCACUAAACUACUGUACUGCGUUGUUUUGCUGGUUGCCUAGGAGACCGAGACAUUAUUUUGCAGUCGUUCAAGUUCACCAGAGUUCAAAGGCGUGGUGCUAGUGCGGAUCGUAGAUGUACCAGAAAAAGGAAAUGGAAGUAUUACCUUCGGGAAAACUGUUCAAAUGUGCUCCAGACCCCUACUUUCCCCGAUAAUGACAAACCAAAGAUGGCGUUCUUCACUGCUCUGACUGACGAUAUUCAACUUGGACCAUUCAGCAAUGAAACUACUCUAACCUACAGCAAAGUCGUCACAAACAUCGGCAAGGCUUACAACCAAUUUAAAGCACCAGUAAGGGGAGUCUCUAAUUCAGAUACAGCGCUCCAUGGAUCUUGACAAAUAUAUAUCCACAAACGGGUGUAUUUUUGUACAAGAAUGAUCAGAGAAUGGCUUCCACAUAUGAAGGGGACAAUGAUGGCAUGUUUAGGAAUGUAUCUAAUGCAGCUGUCCUGGAGUUAGAGGUGGGAGAUGUGGUUUACGUGCGUCUCCCUGUAAACUACCGAAUCUAUGCUGGUUCAGACAAUAAGAGCACCUUCAGUGGCUUCCUGCUCUUCACCAUUUAAGUGAUGAUCUGCUCACCAGCGUUUUGGUGUGUCGAUGAGAGACCACAGUGUUUUCCCUCCCACCAAUAAAAACAUGAACCUAGUGAUUUGUUCCCAGACUUUUUCCUUCAUGUAAUUAGGUAUGGCGUACUUCUAUGAGAAGUAACACUAUUAUUCUUGAAUC